rnacentral:piRNA from 1 species
UGUUAGAAGGACUGGUGGUAGCAU